rnacentral:tRNA from 1 species
UUAGUUGAAACCAAAGAGAGGUAGAUUUCUGUUAAUAAUUUUAUUGAUAAUAUCCAACUAUU